UACGAAGGGGGCUAGCGUUGUUCGGAUUUACUGGGCGUAAAGCGCACGUAGGCGGAUUGGUCAGUUAGGGGUGAAAUCCCAGAGCUCAACUCUGGAACUGCCUUUAAUACUGCCAGUCUCGAGUCCGGAAGAGGUAAGUGGAACUCCUAGUGUAGAGGUGGAAUUCGUAGAUAUUAGGAAGAACACCAGUGGCGAAGGCGGCUUACUGGUCCGGUACUGACGCUGAGGUGCGAAAGCGUGGGGAGCAAAC
rnacentral:rRNA from 1 species